UGGGGAAUAUUGGACAAUGGGGGCAACCCUGAUCCAGCCAUGCCGCGUGUGUGAAGAAGGCCUUUUGGUUGUAAAGCACUUUAAGCAGUGAAGAAGACUCCAUGGUUAAUACCCAUGGACGAUGACAUUAGCUGCAGAAUAAGCACCGACUAACUCUGUGCCAGCAGCCGCGGUAAUACAGAGGGUGCAAGCGUUAAUCGGAAUUACUGGGCGUAAAGCGAGCGUAGGUGGCUUGAUAAGUCAGAUGUGAAAGCCCCGGGCUUAACCUGGGAACGGCAUCUGAUACUGUUAGGCUAGAGUAGGUGAGAGGAAGGUAGAAUUCCAGGUGUAGCGGUGAAAUGCGUAGAGAUCUGGAGGAAUACCGAUGGCGAAGGCAGCCUUCUGGCAUCAUACUGACACUGAGGUUCGAAAGCGUGGGUAGCAAACA
rnacentral:rRNA from 1 species